rnacentral:rRNA from 1 species
GCGGCGGACGGGUGAGUAACACGUGGGGCAACCUGCCCUGCAGACUGGGAUAACUUCGGGAAACCGGAGCUAAUACCGGAUAACACCGAAAACCGCAUGGUUUUCGGUUGAAAGGCGGCUUUUAGCUGUCACUGCAGGAUGGGCCCGCGGCGCAUUAGCUAGUUGGUGAGGUAACGGCUCACCAAGGCGACGAUGCGUAGCCGACCUGAGAGGGUGACCGGCCACACUGGGACUGAGACACGGCCCAGACUCCAACGGGAGGCAGCAGUAGGGAAUCUUCCGCAAUGGACGAAAGUCUGACGGAGCAACGCCGCGUGAGCGAAGAAGGUCUUCGGAUCGUAAAGCUCUGUUGUCAGGGAAGAACAAGUGCCGUUCGAACAGGGCGGUACCUUGACGGUACCUGACGAGGAAGCCACGGCUAACUACGUGCCAGCAGCCGCGGUAAUAC